rnacentral:lncRNA from 1 species
AUACCCACAAGCACCUGGUCAGAAUUGAGCAGCCCGACAGGAACCUUCCUGCCCUGACCCCCAGCAAACAGCGGUAAGAGGGAUUUGCCACGACCUUCCAGGAAAUCAGGUGCUAAUGAUAGAGAUCAAAGUGGAAGGAAAGGAGUGAAUUCUCCCUCCAGGUGCCAUAGAUGACAUCUUUUUAGAUGGAUCUUUUGUUUCGCCUUUAAGAUAUUACCUCAUUUGAUCUUUGUAUACACCUCAUUAGAUACUGACAGCUAUUCAACAAAUAAAGAAAAAGAGGCAUAGAAAAUUUGGAUAACUUACUAAAGUCAUUGAGACAACAGACAGCCAAGGCAUUGGCACAGUCUUUGGACAUGAAAAUCAUGGAGAAGGAAGAGGCUGAUUGUUAUCCAUGAUUAGGCAGUGCAGAUAUAGCUCAAUAUUCCAAAUGGGAUGUUUUGGCCUUGGAGUUAAGUUCCAAGAGCAUUAUAAAAUAAUCACCUGUAUAGGAAGUCCUGACUUAACUCUAUUAACAACUUCGCUGGGAGAAGGGUCCACACAAAAAUUCUGAGAUGGAGAUGAUGGCUAAAGUUAGAGUUCACAUUGGAUGACUUUGAACUCAGUAAACUAGGUGAAUUUGCCAGAAGAUAUGAAGCUGUGGGAACUUGGAAGCCCAGGACACUAUGAUAUUGAUUACAGGGAAAUAGUUCAAAAAUAUCACAAGAUUACAAGCAGCUGUAAGUGUCUUGACUAGCGAAAGACCUUGGAUUUGUAGAGCAUCAGUCUAUGUAUGUCUACAACAAUAUUCAUCAAUUUUAUUAAUCCAAGACUGGGUAUUAGAACAGGCAGGGAGUUAGGAGAACUUGGUAUUGACAGGGGCAAUGUCAGUCAGCAACAUGGCAGCAUGCAAAGAACUUUGGUCUGUGAGAUCAGGAAUCUAGGUUCUGGGUUCAUUCAUUACAUUGUCCUAGGCUAAUAACUUUCUUCUUUCACUCUUAUGUCUUCAUUUGUAAACUGGAGAUGCUAGACUAUGUAAUUUCAAAUAUGGUUUCAAAUGGAAAGAAAAUCUUAUUCUUGAGGCAAAGUAGAGUUGCAGAAAGAGCAACAUCUUUGUGGUCAGGCUUUACUCUCUACUUCUGCCACUUUAUCGCCUGUGACCUUGAGAAAGUUACUUCUUUGCACCUCAGUUUCCUCAUCCAUAAAAUGGUGAAAAGAGUAAGUUAUGGGGAAAUGUUAAAGAUAAAAUUUGAAUAGUAGUCAUCAAUAAUUGCAAUAAUUGUUUAUUUGAUUAUAUUGAUUUGAUUUUUUUUUUUUUUUUUUUGAGACAGAGUCUCGCUCUGUUGCCAGGCUGGAGUGCAGUGGCACAAUCUUGGCUCACUGCAACCUCCACCUCCCAGAUUCAAGCGAUUCUCCCGCCUCAGCCUCCUGAGUAGCUGGGACUACAGGUGCAUGCUACCACGCCCAGCUAACUUCUGUAUUUUUAGUAGAGACGGGUUUUCACAAUGUUGGGCAGGAUGGUCUCGAUCUCUUGACCUUGUGAUCUGCCCGCCUUGGCCUCUCAAAGUGCUGGGAAUACAGGUGUGAGCCACCAUGCCUGGCCCUGAUUUGAUCUUCCUAAAGCCAUAUACUUUAACCAUAAUUUAAUGUUUCUUGAUGACUUACAAUCAUCAAGUACAAAGGAUGAUUAAUGCUAUAACAUUGUGACAUUCUUGUGCCCAGAUUGCUUACACACUUAUUGAGCCCAAGAAUCUUCUUUGUGCAAGUUGUCAAAUUAUCAUUGUACUAUAAUCAAUAUGUCUGUAAUCUGCUAAGAUCUUGGAGAGUAGACAACUAAAUCAUAUAAUAUGUACAUUAAAUAAAAGUAGGUGCUUAUGGAGGCCACGAGUAUUAGGUGUGCAUAGCUAUUUUGACUUCUAAGAAACUUUCUUUGCUUACUUUCAGAUUCUGAAAUGUGAUCCAAUAAGUAGGACACUGAAUAAACACUCUAAAAAGAGAUAAAGUCAUAUUCAAACACAAAAACUGUCAACAUACAGUGAUUGUGUGUAAGAUUGGUGGAAGAGAGUUCACUGACUCUAACAGACCCUAAUACUGCAUUGAGUACCUCUGUAAAUUUUCAUUCUAUUUUUAUGAGUGAGGAACGGUGAGAAAAUGGUAUGACAAUGAGGAGUUGAAAAUGGAAAAGAAGAUUUUAUUUUCUACUAAUUAUAUAUUGUCUAUGAUCUCACAUUUAAAAAUAUGCAUUGGCUUAGUCAAUAAUUGACCCUGGGGUUGAUUUGUUUUUGGAACAAGUCUCAGCAAAGUCCCUUAAAAAGUAAGAUAAAUAAGCAAUGUUUAUACAGCUUUAAUUAUGUUAAUCAUUUUAGGACUGAAUUCACAAACUGUCAGGGAACAGCAAGAGAGUGAGCAGACCACUUUUCCUCCGACCUUCCCUUUUCCUAUCUGAUUGCUGUCUCCCAUAUAUUCUUUUCCUGAGGCAUCUGAAAUUGCUGAUUUAGGUGGAGUAGAAGAUUUAACAAAGCUAAUUGCUUCUGUUGUUAGACAGACAGACAUGUAUCUAUUACAUUCACUAUAUUAGAACUACGAAUUGCUUUAAAAAGUCAACAGAAAUAAACAUAAAAAGUGUCUCUAACCCUUUCUACUUUUAAUAGAGGUACUUCCAUAGUUGUAGGGAAGUUUGUACCUGCGAGUACAAAACAGAGAAUGAAUCUGAAUGAUGUGGUCUGACUGCUAAUGUUUACAAGCUGAAGAGGAGAUGCUGUGAGAUUUCCCUGUGGAUGCAGUCUUGAGAAAAGGACUAGCGAAAUUACUACAAUCCUAGCACGCUGAAUUAGUUGAACAGGCUAAUCCUCACAAAUGGAUAGGAUUUAAGAUAUGAUUGUGAGAUUGUUAUCCAAUUGCAUAAAUCUAUGUAUAAAUGCAGGUUCAGAUUUAUAGACACUGAAUAUAACAGAAAAAGACAUAGAUAUUUUCAUCUAGGAACUUUUAUGUACAUUUUAAAUCAUUGUUUAGUAUAUAUUUCUCUCAAUAGAAGUAGCAUGCUGAAAUGGAAGAAUUUGUUGCAAUAAAAUACAAAGCCAAGCUAUUAUAUUACUAGCUCAAUAGCACAAUGCCUUAGAUAUUUAAAUUUGUGCAGAGGGAGUUAGUUAUAUAUAAAACUCUUUGGCCAAACCCGCCACAUAUACAGUUGGGAGGACACCAGUUAAGUAUGGGUGAAUAGAGAAGUUUAGAAUCUUGCAUUAAAAAAAACUUCCUUACAAAAUGUGCACACGAGAAUCACUAAAAUUUCAAGGAUCCUUUUUACUUAAAUAAAAGAUGCAAAAGGUAUUGUGGUAGUAAGUGUGCAUCUGUUCACCCUUAGAACAGAAUUUCAAAUACUUAGUGUUUUGAAAAAUUCCUUUGCCAACCUACUUUAUUACCCCAUGUAAAUGAAUCAUUUGAUUUUCUGUGUAAAUUGCUUGUAAACUUGCUUUCCAUUUAAUUAUAAUUCAAGACAGUUUAGAACACACACAUACACAUACACAUAUGUACACAUACACACAUACACACACACCUGGGUUAGAGAAUCUGAGCAUUUAAGAGCUAUAAGGAAAUUUUGAGAUGUUUGGUCGAAAUCCAGCCUCAAGUUAGCAGACGUGAAACUGGGAUCACAGAAUCUGAGUCCUUGUCCCAAUUCACAGUGCACAAAAUCUGGCAAGAACUUUGACGUUCAGGUUCAUAGUCACCUUUCUAUCCUAUCACCCUCCUUUAUCAUUUCACAACUAUUGUCUGUGUUUCACCUUUUGGCUUGGUAUUAUGCCAGCAUGCAUUCCCUUCUCCUAUACCUAGAGAGGGUCAUGGCGAUUUCCCAUAUUUCCUCCAACACAGCAAACAGACUAAACACAUAUGGUCCAAAGUCCAACCUCAUGGUGUCAGUCUAGGCCUUAUUUCUUCAGAUGAUUCUCUUCUCAGAUGAAAAUCACUCACUGGUUACAAAAUCAAUGUUGUAAAAAAUGAACUAUUUUUUUCGUGACAUAUCUGUUUUGAUCACAUUCCCAACGGAUCCAUAAAAUAACACAAAAUAACAUCACAUGCACUACUUUUGAAGUCUGUACUGAGUUACUGGUCUGAAACAUUAUCAAUUGCACUGUGGUAUGCAUACAGAGCUUCCGGCAGAGUGUGUAUCCAGUGAGUCAUUUGAGAAAUGGGGUGUCUCUGCCAGGCAUUCUUUUAGUAGCCCAUGUAAGAUGUUACUGAAGAGCUGGAGAGAAGAGGGAGCCACUCUACCUCAUCAUUCACACUGAACCUAAAUGAAGAGAUCUUAGAUUAGACUCACCUCCAUCUUUCAUAUUAAUCUAGGGUAAAUAUUGAAAUAAAUCAUUCUGUUUCUUUAGUCCUAAUUUAUCUUUUCCUAGGAAAAGAAGAAGAAUCUAGCACUGUAAAAUACACCUGGGAUCUUACCUGAGAUAAAACUACAAACUAUAGUAGGCUAACAUAGUCAAGACUUUAUAUUUCCAAAACACUUUAAAAUAUAUUAUCUCAUUUAGACUAUAUUCAAAUAUUUAACCUCAUAUGUCUCUAUUUGGGAACUGUGAAAAAUAAGGCCUAAGGAGAUAUUUUUUUUUCCAGGCCACAAAUCUAACAAAUGUUCUAUUUGUUAUUUUUAUUUUUAGCUAUUAUUUUCAGUCUUAAAUUUCCUGGUACUAUACAGUGCUGACAGUUUUUAGACUGUAUGAAGAAUAUGGCAUCCCCAAUUAGGGACUAUUAUGGCUCAACAGAAAGGGUAUAUAUACCUUGGAAAGGGCCAAAAGCUCAUAUGAAUGCUUUGUCACUAGCAUGCAUCUAUCUUGUGCCAAGAGAUCUUUUUCUAGUUAUCCUCUAGGGUAUUAAAUGUUUAAAUGUUUUCUGCAGCCACCCUGUUCUCUAGAUCCCAUGUAUUGAAAGACUUACAGGUCCCUAGGAGAAUAUUUUGUGAAGGUCUUAAAGAAAGCUACAUUUGCCUUCCUUUUCUACUUGUGAGCCUUUUUGAUUAAAACUCCUCCCUUACUGAUGUCAUCCAGAUCAGCUCAAGGAAAACAUUUGACAGGUCCAUCUGUGUCCACAGUCACCCACAAACAUGGGAAACUGCCACCCAUCUGCCUCCCUAUGCUUUGUUUUGCUCCUGUCCUGGUUAUUUUGUUCUCUUGUAGCUACAGGGGAUAUUAAUACCCUCCUGUCUUCCAGAAAUGUGAAGAGAAUGGAUCUAUGUUAGCUUGUGCUCCUGAGAGAAAGAUGUUAUAGAAAUAGCAUAUGCUAUCACACUGUUAUUUACACGCAAUUCUACAAGUUUUCUAGUAACAUCCUCACAUUUUAAUGAACAUGUUUCUUAACUUCCUACCUGGAUUCACUAUUAAUCAUUUCAAUGUAAUUAUGGCUCAUCAAUUAUUCUGCGUUUCCCAAAUAGAUUGUUUACUCUUAAUGACAGAAAUGUUAUAAAUUUAGGGACACUUUUUGGAUUCAAUUACUUUCUUGUCUAUUGCCUGCAUUUUAUGAUGUCAUUCACUAAUGUUGCCAAGAGUUGAAUAUUUGCAUUAGUUCCUUUUUUAUUUUGAAUAACAACAUACACUUUUUGGUAAAACAACACCAGGAUGAUUUCAAAUCAGGGAAAAUGCAAAUCAGAGGCUUAAAGAUGUGAAGCAAUCCAAAUAUUUUCUUAAUCACAUUCCUGGGGCAUUGUAUGAAAUUCCAAUAGCAAUCAAUGAUCUUAUGAUUCAAACAAUCCUAUAAAUAUGAUAAGAAUUCAUAAUAGCUGUCAAAAUUCAAAACAAAACAAAUAUGUCAGUGAAUUUCAAAAAGGAUUAUUUGAGUCAAUUUUAAUCAUUGCUUUUUUAUAAAGACAUAUUAUUUGAAACCGAUAUGUACAGAUUAGAGCUCAGUGUACAAAUUUACAGCCAUGUCACAUGAAUUUAAAAUCUUUUAAGAUACACACAUCGCAAGGACAAAAAACCAAACACUGCAUGUUCUCACUCAUAGGUGGGAAUUGAACAAUGAGAACACAUGGACACAGGAAGGGGAACAUCACACUCUGGGUACUGUUGCGGGGUGGGGGGAGUGGGGAGGGAUAGCAUUAGGAGAUACACCUAAUGCUAAAUGACGAGUUAAUGGGUGCAGCACACCAGCAUGGCACAUGUAUACAUAUGUAACUAACCUGCACAUUGUGCACAUGUACCCUAAAACUUAAAGUAUAAUAAUAAUAAAAUAAAAAAAGAUACACACAUCCACCAUUGUCAUGUAGCUUUCAAAUAAUGCAAAGAACUAACUUACUAUUUACUUGCCAUUGCCUCUGAUUCAUUUUCCUCAGUAGGUAAUACCACUCCUACCGUAAGUAUAUGUAAGAAAUGCUAGAUUACGAUAGUCAAAAAUAACUUUGCUUAGUUAAAGACUUUAUCUUCAUUUUCAAAAUGUGCGGCUUUUCCUCAAAGAUUGAUUGCAUGUUGUGAUUUAUUUCCUGGUGCUCAAAAAGAUUCAAAGAACUUUAAAUCUCUAAACAUAUUUUUGAAUAUACCAUCAAUUUAAUAUCUGUGGCUAAUACAAACCUCAUUUUGUUCAAACAAAGGUUACUGUACAUAGUAUCUGAAAUGACUUGAUAUAUUUUCCAUUCUUUCAUUAAGUAACUAAUCUUCAGGUUAAAAAAUGUUCUUUUAAAUGAGAUAAACCUCAGUUAAUAUUUUAGAAGGCAAAUUGUUGUUAUGAUUAUUGAUUCUUUCCUUGUUUUAUGUGGAAACAAAUUAGAGAUGCUCAAAAUUCUCAUUUUUUAAAUUUCAGGAGAAUGUGUACAUAAUUAAAUAUAUUUCUGUGUAAAUGCAAUAGCACCCUCUGGAGGUCUGAAACACUUUGCAUAACUUCCAUAAAUCAAUGUCUUCUUUUGUUAUCUCCACAUAUUUUUGUUGGCUUAGACUUUUAAUAUUUUACAUUCUGAUAAUCAUAUUUGUCUCAUAAAGUGAUUAAAUACAUUUAAUCUAUUAUUACUUUCUAUUUAUUAUGCAUUCAUUGUGAUUUGUGUGUCAUCUCAUUUGUAAUGCUGCAAUGUAAUAACAAAAUAAACAAUUCAGCUGACCUUGGUGAUGUCUCUAUAACGUUCCUAUUUUUUAUCAUGCAAAAAUAUUUUCCAAACAAGAAAUAACAAGUUACAUUUCCGAAAUCCCUUAGUAUCUGGUUAUAUGUAGACAACAGGAAACUAAUUUUACCUCCUUUGAAGAUUCCUCAUGAAAACAGUUACUUUCAUUCUUCAUGCCCCUGAUGAACAAACACAGCUGUGGUUUUUCUGUGGUUUUGAAGCUAAUUUAUCAGAGAUGGGAGAAUUUGAAAAGGAGCAGAGGUCAGAAAACAUCGGAAAAAAUAUCUUGAGUCACUGGAACACAUUCAAGGACCAAAGUGACUUCUAUUGUGCCAUAAUAAUAUAAAUAAAUGAUCCCAUAAUCAUUUGCCUCUCUGCAACAGCUCUGCAUACAAAGGUCUUUUUGAAGUUCAGGGAGAUCCAAACAGAGCUGUUCAUCUACUAUAAAAAAAGGGGAUGAGCAUAUGACUAAUAUUGGGUAAGAGGAAAUAAUGUCAUUUGAUUCUGAAUGAAGCCAAGGCUGCCCUCUCCCUGAAGGUUGUUCAAGAGAACACAGCUAGUUUGUGAGAUAUUGGAGUGGGACUGAAUUCUUUUUUUUUUUUUUUUUUUUUUUUUUUUUUGAGAUGGAGUCUUGCUCUGUCACCCAGGCUGGAGUGCAGUGGCGUGAUCUCAGCUCACUGCAACUUCCGCCUCCCAGGUUCAAGCAAUUCUCCUGCCUCAGCCUCCCAAGUAGCUGGGAUUACAGGCACAUACCAUCAUGCCCUGCUAAUUUUUUGUGUUUUUAGUAGAGACGGGGUUUCAUCAUGUUGGCCAGGCUAGUUUUGAACUCCUGACCUCAAGUGAUCUGCCUGCCUCAGCCUCCAACAUGACAUGCAGUUGAGCUGUCCUCUGGGAAGACUGGUCUCCAUUGGCUCUAAUCAGAGGAGGCAGGGGAUCUACCAAAUACUGUUCCCCCAAAGGUAAAUGACAGUGAGGAUGUCAUACAGGGUCUUCCAAACUGUUGCAUGAAAAAGUAACAAACACACAACCAAAAGGAAUUAUAACUCUAAUCUCAAGCACUUGAACGUACUCUAACGUGUAUAUACAAAGAUAAAUAUAAAAAAUAAUGAUAAUAUUUAAACAAACUAAAAUGCACUGGAAAAUAUUAACACUAAAAUGACUAUAUAUCUAAUAGGAAAUAGGAAAAAGUCAAGAUUGGAGGUGCUAGAAUUGCUUCAGUCAUUCUUUUCCCAGUAUUCUGUUCCUUCUCUCCAUCCUUCUGCUCGCUCACCUUAAUUAUACCUAAAUCGUCAGAAGAUUCAGGUCAGAACUCUGCCAGCAAAACUGUGCAUUUUAACUAUUUUAAUCAUUAUAAAAAUGAAAGAUUUGUAUGCCACAUCAUUUGGAUUUUGACUGGCUUUCCUGAGUUCAUCCAGCUGUAGGAAUAUGGGUAAGUUUCAUAAGCUGUCUGUGCUUUGGUUUACAAAAAGUGGAGAGGAGACUUACAUGAAGAGAUGCUUGCAAAGCAUUUGGUCAUGUCUAGUGCAUAAAAAAGGCUGGUUUUCAUAUGAUUUUAAUUAUUUAACUGAUAUUAUAUAUAUCAUAUAAAUGAUAUUUAAAUAAUUAUUUAUUUAUUUAACAUUUUCCCAGCAUCUAGUGCACUAUUCAAAACUCGUUAUAAAUAUUAACCAAUUUACUCUUCCUAACAACCCUAUGAGGUAGAUAGUGUAUCCUUAGCAUCAUCAUCAUCAUGUUACCAGAUAAAUCUGAGACACAAGUUAAGAAACUUUCCCAGGGUCACACAGCUAAUAAGUACUAGAGCAACAGUUGAAUUGCAGGCCGUCUGGAUACAGAGUCUAUUCUAUGCAUUUAGCUACAAGGUGGUUCUGCCAAGGGGCUACUGCUGCUAUCACUGUUGUUCAAUAAAAUUGUCAUAUAGCAUUCUAUUUCCAAAUUUGCCAAAUAAAGCUAUAUCACAAGAUAGUGAUGAUAACUUUACCUGUGGAUGUUAAUACAAUGAUGUGAUUGAGAUGUCAGUAUAAAUGAAAUUUGUCUGAGAAAUAAUGACUUUCACAGUCAUAAAAACAUAAACCAUCUUGGAGCUUUUUAACUUGUCCUUAAUAUUUCUUUACACUCUUCCUCCUUUUGGUGGCCAUUAAUUUCUGAAUUAUUCUUCCCAUUAGCCUCCAGCUUUAAAGUAGAAACUGGGACUAAAAUGAGAAAAAUAAACAAAGUCCAUUGACCCCUCUUGUAUCCAUUGUACCCAGCAUUUUGAUUCUGCAUAAGUCCUGGCAAUACGCCAUCACAGUGCUGUGGUUUCUCCAUCAGAAUCAUUCCCAGCGAUUCUCAGAGACAAAGGCUGAAAUUGUAGAGUGGCCCAUUCUUCAAAGACCAGUAGGCUUAUUUUGACUGACAUUUGUGCUUUCUGAGUUAUGGAAGAGCAAUGGCAAGUGCUAUGAAUGUGCCUGGGAGUUUUGAUGUUGUGUUUAACCAGAUUCUCUUUGUAAAAGAUUCAUUGCUUAGCCUAGUGCUAAGACGUGAAAAGGCAUUUGUCCACAUUCUUCUUAAUCAUUGAAUCUCAAACUCAAGUAUGCAUCAGAAUUUCCCCAGAGAUUCUGAUUCAGAAGGUCUAGAUGAGGGCCUAGAGGGUUCUGAAUUUUCAGGUGAUUCUGACGCAGGUGGCCCAAGGACUGUACUUAAAGAAACCUUUUAGGACCAGCAGUCCUAGGAAGCCAGAGACGGGAUGGUCCAGAGUCUCCUGGGAGCUAUUGCAAAUCCAUAUGCCUGAAUGCCACACCAAACUCAAAGAAUCAGGAGCUCUGGAGGAAGAAGACCUGAAUAUGUGUUUCUGGAAAGAACUGCUGAAGUUUUCUGCAACACUCCCUGACCUUGCUGUGUUCUGGAAUUGUGAUUUGACGGCUGUGUUGGGUGAAACCCCAGGAAUUCAGGCCUUUUGUAUGGCCAAAUCGGUAGGGGCCUCCUUUUAGCCCUCUUACUAAAGCUCGACUCAUAUUGCUUUUUUAAAAAAUGGGACUCCAAAUAAUGCUUGUUUGUUUGUUUUUGGUAUACUGAGGAGAGAGCAUUCUGGGGAAAAAAUAGAAAAAGGAAGAAAAAUUAUUUUAAAACCACAACCGUAGAAUUAAUAUCAGAGAUUUCACUAAGGCCAUAUAGUUAAUUUUGAUCAUUUUGAACCAGCUUUGUAUCCAGUUUCAUUUCCCCUUUCUCCUACAAAAGGUGUGAUAUUGAGGGAGUGUCUUGAAUCAUGAGAAUCUCUGAAUCUAAAUGUUAACAAGUGAUAUUAAUAAACUUAAUUUUAUUGUCACCUAAAAUUCAAAAAGUCACACAUUUCAUUUUAUUAUUAUCUAAAGAUAAUGCUACAGAAAUAAUCAUAAAAAAACAAUAAAUUGACAGUUAAAUCCAUAAAUUAGUUACAACUGAUUUUUCACAAGCUUUCCACUUCCACUCAGCUAUCAGCACCAAGAAAAAGGCUGAUUUAUUCUCUGUAUGCUUCAUAAUGAGCGCAUGGACUGAAUGAACUGAGUGUUCUAUUUAUUCCUGGUUACAAACUGGCAAGGUUGCCAUUGGACCAAGAAAAAUGUUUCUAGUGUUAUUAUUAAUGUCUGUUAAGAACCCAGAGUCUGGAUUGUGCCCAUAAAAUUUAUAAUACAAAACUUAUAGUCUGUCAAACACUGAAAGUCAAAAACUAAAAACAGGAAACGAACUAAAUGUAAAAACGUAGGUGGACUAAGAAUAAGCAUUAACUACUCGCUAGAAAGAUUUUUUUUCUUAUUUAAAAAAAUAUUUUUGUUCUAAUAGGGCCAUCUUAAGGUUCAAAAUCAACUAAUUAAAAUGAUUUGUACAGAAAAUGCUUAUACUCACAAUUUCUGAUUUUGCUGCACGUGGAAGCGGGUGAUAACCAAUGAAGUGACUAAAUAAGUUUAAAAGUUAUUUAGAUCACAACUUUGACCCAUUCUGCUCAUCAGAUUUGUCUUUAACAGAGCCUCCAGGCGGCAAACAUGACCUAUAUACACUUUAUUCUUUUCUCUCUUGCUAAGCAGUCGAAAAAAUCCCAGGGAGAUAGCUCAAAGUUAAACUCAAGAUGGAGAAGAAAUAUUGUAAUAUGUAUUGUGGCUGAGGAAAAAAAAGUUUAAAAAACAUUUUCAAUAUUAUCUUUGCACAAUCAUCUAUUUAACAAACAUUGAGUACCUUCCACUCCUAGGCACUGGGGAUGUAAAAAUGAGGCCAUUGUUUGUCAUCUAGGAGAGAGGUUUCAGUCCCAUAGUAGUGGCCCAUUACUGAGCUGUGAAAUCAAUACAAUAGGUUGUGACCACCAUUUUUUUUUUCAAAAACAGAUCAGAGUAGAAAAUAUUAAAGCAUGCCACUCAUAAUAAGGGAAUAUAUUAUUUCUCGGAGCUGUGUUUCAGUCUGUAUCUGUGUAAAUGUGAGCACGUGUGUGUGUGUUCCAGAUCACAAUGUAAAAAUGCAUUUUAAUGAUAGCUGCAUUAAAAAAGUUUGAAAGCGUCUGUUAAAGAGUCUACCAGACAUGAGAAUCGCUUGAACCAGGGAGCCGGAGGUUGCAGUAAGCAGAAAUCACGCCACUGCACUCCAGCCUGGGGGACAGAGCAAGACUCCAUUCCCCUCACCCCAAAAAAAUAGUCUGCCAGAGAAGUAGACAAUUAAAUAUAGAAUUAAAACAAAAUGUGACAGGUGUUUUUUUUAGAGAUGUGGAAAAGUAACCCUAAAAUCUAAAGAGAAAGAGUGGCUACCUCUGCCAGGAGUGGAAAUGACCACCGAGGGACAGUCUUGAUAUUCAAACUAGGACCAAAAUGAUGAAAUUUGAGAUAGAGAGGGAGACUUGACAGGACAUUCCAGGCAGAAGGAACCAAUUGUGUGGGGAGUUCUGAAAGGGAGCACUGUGUUUACACAGGGGUGAGAAUGUGGGGGUGGGGAGGAUAAGAUUUAUGGGGGCAAUGCGAGGGGAAUGGCAUGUGAUAAAGACAGAGAAGUGCAUAUGCAACAAGCUUGUCACUGAGGAGAAGAAUGACAAUGAUGGGCAUAGUUUGCUUUGCUUUGUUUUCUUAUUUUUGAGAAAGUAACAUUGUCACCAAGACUGCCUGGAAGAGAAAGAGAGACAAGUGAGAAGAUUCUUGCCAUCAUUCAGGCUAAUGUUGAUGAUAAUUGAGCAUAGUAAAGGUGGAGAGGAGGAGAUGCCACAUUUGGAAAGCAAUUCUAACAGAAUCCACAUGAUUUCAAGUCUAAUUAUGCAUAUAUUCUGAGUUAUCAAUGAUUCAAGUGGUCCUAUUAUUGCAAGACUACAAAGACAACAGCAUCAGAAGGUAAGAGAGACGUCUAUUUUUCCCCUUUGAUAAUAUCAUUUUAUUUUCAAUAAUGAGCAAUUGCAUACCUUUUUUAAACCUUCAUUUUUAAUCUGCUAAAUGGAGAUGCAUGUAAUACAAUUUAAAAGCCUUCAAUAAAAGUUUCUUUUUAACUUUGUACUCUUUUGAACAGACUAUGUUUUAUCAUUACAUAAUUCUGCAUUAUAAAACCACAUGGUUGCUGGUGCCAUCCACCAGCAACUGUAAUUCAAAUGUUUCACUUCUUAAACCAAAGGCAUUAAUAUGAUUAGCCCAAAGAUAUCAGAGAAAUAACAUACUAAUCAUUUUUAUUUAAAGAUGAAUUUAAUGAAAUACAUUGAAUUAAGGUUUUAUAUAGCACAAACUAGGUAAGGGAGAAAAUAAGCCAUGUUGGUCAUAUCAUCAAAAUAAUAGGAAAGUUCUGUUUCUCUUCUAACCUUGUUCAUACCCAGACACAUAAGCCUGUAAACAUUAUCUCCUUAUCCUGCCAUAAUAAGAAGGCAUCCUUAUGACACAUUUCAAACUUUCUAUCUGGGCAUCACAGAAUCAUUUGCUCCCCAAAGAAAGGCAUCCACUUCACAGGAAAAUGCAAAUAAAAGCAAGUCAACUCAAGCUUUGGGGAUUCCCUAGAGUGCAAGGCUUGUGGCCCAAACACCUGUUUAGUUGCCUUGACAAAAACCACAUGAUUAUCUCAAUCGAUGCAGGAAAGGCCUCCAAUAAAGUUCAACACCCCUUUGUGCUAAAAACUCUCAAUAAACUAGGUACUGAUGGAACGAAUCUAAAAAUAAUAAGAGCUAUUUAUGACAAACCCACAGCCAAUAUCAUACUGAAUGGGCAAAAGCUGCAAGCAUUCCAUCUGAAAACUGGCACAAGACAAGGAUGCCCUCUCUCACCACUCCUAUUCAACAUAGUAUUGGAAGUUCUGGCCACGGAAAUCAGGCAAGAGAAAGAAAUAAAGUGUAUUCAAAUAGGAAGUCAAAUUGUCUCUGUUUGCAGAUGACAUGAUUAUAUAUUUAGAAAACCCCAUCUUCUCAGCUCAAAAUCUCCUUAAGCUGAUAAGCAACUUCAGCAAAGUCUCAGGAUACAAAAUCAAUGUGCAAAAAUCACAAGCAUUCCUAUACACCAAUAAUAGAGAAACAGACAGCCAAAUCAUGAGUAAACUCCCAUUCACAAGUGCCACAAAGAGAAUAAAAUACCUAGGAAUCCAACUUACAAGGGAUGUGAAGGACCUCUUCAAGGAGAACUACAAACCACUGCUCAAGGAAAUAAGAGAGGACACAAACAAAUGGGAAAACAUUCCAUGCUCAUGGAUAGGAAAAAUCAAUAUUGUGAAAAUGGCCAUACUGCCCAAAGUAAUUUAUAGAUUCAGUGCUGUCUCCAUCAAGCUACCAUGGACGUUUCUUAGAAUUAGAAAAAAAACACCUUCCAUAUGAAAGUAUAAAUAAC